rnacentral:rRNA from 1 species
GGAUCCAGACUUUGAUUCUGGCUCAGGAUGAACGCUAGCUACAGGCUUAACACAUGCAAGUCGAGGGGCAGCGGGAUUGAAGCUUGCUUCAAUUGCCGGCGACCGGCGCACGGGUGAGUAACGCGUAUCCAACCUUCCGUACACUCAGGGAUAGCCUUUCGAAAGAAAGAUUAAUACCUGAUGGUAUGAUGAGAUUGCAUGAUAGCAUCAUUAAAGAUUUAUCGGUGUACGAUGGGGAUGCGUUCCAUUAGGUAGUAGGCGGGGUAACGGCCCACCUAGCCAACGAUGGAUAGGGGUUCUGAGAGGAGGGUCCCCCACAUUGGAACUGAGACACGGUCCAAACUCCUACGGGAGGCAGCAGUGAGGAAUAUUGGUCAAUGGACGAGAGUCUGAACCAGCCAAGUAGCGUGAAGGAUGAAGGUCCUACGGAUUGUAAACUUCUUUUAUAAGGGGAUAAACCCUCCCACGUGUGGGAGCUUGUAUGUACCUUAUGAAUAAGCAUCGGCUAACUCCGUGCCAGCAGCCGCGGUAAUACGGAGGAUGCGAGCGUUAUCCGGAUUUAUUGGGUUUAAAGGGAGCGCA